rnacentral:rRNA from 1 species
UACAGAGGGGGCAAGCGUUGUUCGGAAUUACUGGGCGUAAAGGGCGCGUAGGCGGCCCGCUAAGUCGAACGUGAAAUCCCCGAGCUCAACUCGGGAACUGCGUCCGAUACUGGCGGGCUUGAAUCCGGGAGAGGGAAGUGGAAUUCCCGGUGUAGUGGUGAAAUGCGUAGAUAUCGGGAGGAACACCAGUGGCGAAGGCGACUUCCUGGCCUGUUCUUGACGCUGAGGCGCGAAAGCUAGGGGAGCAAACGGG